GGAAAUCUCAGGUCAGUAAAAUUUCCACAUGAAAAAACGACUUUGGACAAGUCGAAUAAGUUCUUCCAUUUGCCUGAACUAACAUCAUAAAAACAGAUAGAAGGAAGCAAAAUAAAGAAGAGGCAAGAUCCGACCUGCUGAGGAUUCAACAGCCUCUUCUGUGUUCUGAAAGUGUAUAAUAUUCUUGUGCCAUUGCGUUAAGUUAACUGUUUGAAACAGAUAUGGUAUGAUAUGCUUGAAAAUAAAGUAGCAAACCUGCUACAACAA
rnacentral:misc_RNA from 1 species